GUGGGGUUGGCAGUUCCAGGUGGAGCCAUGGGGGUAUUUGCUCUUGUAAUUCAGCUACCAUGUUGUGAGGAAGCUCAGGCAACCCAUGUAGAGGCUUAUAUGGAGAAAACAAAGACACCCAGUCCAGAGCUCAACUGAGCAUCCAGCCAAUAACCAGACCAACUUGAAAGCCAUGUGAGUGAACCAGCUUGAAUGAGUGUCUUCCAGCCCCCACUUGAUGUGAAACCGCCUUUGCAAAAAUUAUAACUGAGAAAAUUAUUAGAGUCAAAGAGAUCUGACCUAAC
rnacentral:lncRNA from 10 species